CUGAAGUAGAAUCUGGUUCUUCUGAAGCGGUUGAGCUUAAAAAGGAAAAGGAGAGGAGGGGAAAAAGGAAAGAAUUAGAAUGUCUGCCUGAAGAACAGGUGAAUUAUCCAUUUCCAGGGAAGAAAAGGAUGCAGUCCUCAAGCCAAUUCUAUAACUGCAUGAUGGGGAAGAAAUUUCAACUUACCCAAAUAGACAGGUCCCAGGAUGCAGUGCAGCACUGCAGUAUCAACUAAGGUCUCCAACUGUAUGACAAAGAGUUCUCUGUCAAGGCUGGUGAAACCAUGCAGAUGCUUCCUCUAACUCCUGCUCCAAGGACUCUGAGUGCUAACUCUGUAUCUACAGAGCUAUUAGAGAGAAAUAACCUUGAAUAAAGCUACUAGAGUUUCAAAUUGUAGGGUAAAG
rnacentral:lncRNA from 1 species